UUGGGUUUAAAGUGUGCGCAGGCGGUUGGGUAAGACAGAUGUGAAAUCCCCGGGCUCAACCUGGGAAUUGCAUUUGUGACUGCCCGACUAGAGUGCGGCAGAGGGGAGUGGAAUUCCGCGUGUAGCAGUGAAAUGCGUAGAUAUGCGGAGGAACACCGAUGGCGAAGGCAACUCCCUGGGGCCUGCACUGACGCUCAUGCACGAAAGCGUGGGGAGCAAACAGGAUUAGAUACCCUAGUA
rnacentral:rRNA from 1 species